ACUGACGCUGAGGCUCGAAAGUAUGGGUAGCAACAGGAUAGAUACCUGUAGUCCAUACCGUAAACGAUGAAUGCUAAGUGUGGAGGGUUCCGCCUUCAGUGCUGCAGCUAACGCAUUAAGCAUUCCGCCUGGGGAGUACGGCCGCAAGGCUGAAACUCAAAGGAAUUGACGGGGGCCCGCACAAGCGGUGGAGCAUGUGGUUUAAUUCGAAGCUACGCGAAGAACCUUACCAGGUCUUGACAUACUAUGCAAAUCUAAGAGAUUAGACGUUCCCUUCGGGGACAUGGAUACAGGUGGUGCAUGGUUGUCGUCAGCUCGUGUCGUGAGAUGUUGGGUUAAGUCCCGCAACGAGCGCAACCCUUAUUAUCAGUUGCCAGCAUUAAGUUGGGCACUCUGGUGAGACUGCCGGUGACAAACCGGAGGAAGGUGGGGAUGACGUCAAAUCAUCAUGCCCCUUAUGACCUGGGCUACACACGUGCUACAAUGGAUGGUACAACGAGUUGCGAACUCGCGAGAGUAAGCUAAUCUCUUAAAGCCAUUCUCAGUUCGGAUUGUAGGCUGCAACCCGCCUACAUGAAGUCGGAAUCGCUAGUAAUCGCGGAUCAGCAUGCCGCGGUGAGUACGUUCCCGGGUCUUGUACACACCGCCCGUCACACCAUGGGAGUUUGUAAUGCCCAAAGCCGGUGGCCUAACCUUUAGGAAGGAGCCGUCUAAGGCAGGACAGAUGACUGGGGUGAAGUCGUAACAAGGUAACCA
rnacentral:rRNA from 1 species